GACGAACCGUGCGAACGUUGUUCGGAAUCACUGGGCUUAAAGGGCGCGUAGGCGGGCCAUCAAGUCCGGGGUGAAAUCUUUCGGCUUAACCGGAAAAUUGCCUUGGAUACUGGUGGUCUUGAGGGAAGUAGGGGUCUGCGGAACUUCCGGUGGAGCGAUGAAAUGUGUUGAUAUCGGAAGGAACGCCGGUGGCGAAAGCGGCGGACUGGGCUUCUUCUGACGCUGAGGCGCGAAAGCGUGGGGAGCAAACAGG
rnacentral:rRNA from 1 species